GAUGAACGCUGGCGGCGUGCUUAACACAUGCAAGUCGAACGGGAAUUAUUUUAUUGACACUUCGGUCGAUUUAAUUUAAUUCUAGUGGCGGACGGGUGAGUAACGCGUGGGUAACCUGCCUUAUACAGGGGGAUAACAGUCAGAAAUGGCUGCUAACACCGCAUAAGCGCACAGAGCUGCAUGGCUCAGUGUGAAAAACUCCGGUGGUAUAAGAUGGACCCGCGUUGGAUUAGCUGGUUGGUGGGGUAACGGCCCACCAAGGCGACGAUCCAUAGCCGGCCUGAGAGGGUGAACGGCCACAUUGGGACUGAGACACGGCCCAGACUCCUACGGGAGGCAGCAGUGGGGAAUAUUGCACAAUGGGGGAAACCCUGAUGCAGCGACGCCGCGUGAAGGAAGAAGUAUCUCGGUAUGUAAACUUCUAUCAGCAGGGAAGAUAGUGACGGUACCUGACUAAGAAGCCCCGGCUAACUACGUG
rnacentral:rRNA from 1 species